GACGAACGCUGGCGGCGUGCUUAACACAUGCAAGUCGAACGGAAAGGCCCUGCUUUUGUGGGGUGCUCGAGUGGCGAACGGGUGAGUAACACGUGAGUAACCUGCCCUUGACUUUGGGAUAACUUCAGGAAACUGGGGCUAAUACCGGAUAGGAGCUCCUGCUGCAUGGUGGGGGUUGGAAAGUUUCGGCGGUUGGGGAUGGACUCGCGGCUUAUCAGCUUGUUGGUGGGGUAGUGGCUUACCAAGGCUUUGACGGGUAGCCGGCCUGAGAGGGGGACCGGCCACAUUGGGACUGAGAGACGGACCAGAAUCCUACGGGAGGCAGCAGUGGGGAAUAUUGCACAAUGGGCGGAAGCCUGAUGCAGCAACGCCGCGUGCGGGAUGACGGCCUUCGGGGUGUAAACCGAUGUCGAAUGUGACGAAGAGUGAGUGACGGUAAUGGGUAAAGAAGCACCGGCUAACUACGUG
rnacentral:rRNA from 1 species